GGAGGGGGCCAGCGUUGUUCGGAAUUACUGGGCGUAAAGGGCGCGUAGGCGGCUGCGCAAGUCGAACGUGAAAUCCCUCGGCUCAACCGGGGAACUGCGUCCGAUACUGCGUGGCUCGAGUCCCGGAGAGGGUAGCGGAAUUCCCAGUGUAGCGGUGAAAUGCGUAGAUAUUGGGAGGAACACCAGUGGCGAAGGCGGCUACCUGGACGGGUACUGACGCUGAGGCGCGAAAGCUAGGGGAGCAAACAGGAUUAGAUACCCUGGUAGUCCUAGCUGUAAACGAUGGGCACUUGGUGUUGCGGGUAUCGACCCCCCCCCGCAGUGCCGAAGCUAACGCAUUAAGUGCCCCCGCCUGGGGAGUACGGUCGCAAGGCUG
rnacentral:rRNA from 1 species